GUCAGUAUGUAUGUGUCGUGGGUUUGAAAGAGGAUUUAGGGUUCUCACCUAAAUCCAUCAUCAACACAAGAAUUCUGCAUAAAUUGGGGUGAUUUGAGCUGGAAAUCGAGUGCAUGAGACAUCAUCUACACUUGUCUAGGUGUCCUUGAGAUAAGGUGAAAAUGAUGAGUGUGAUGAUCUUGAUAAGAAUUUGGAACGUGUCAAGGAGAGCUCAAGCAUAGGAGGAUAACGGGUCAAAAUAAGGCAAAGUGACAAAUACACUUAUUGGAGUACUCAAGGUAAGUGAUUUCCGGAAUCACUUCUUAUCUUAUAAAUAAAGUUUUGAUAUGUUAAACGUAGGAAAUCAUGUGAGAAAUUAUGAGAAGGAGUAAGUACUAAGGUAUGUAUUAAUGAGGUAAGUCGUAAGAAGUUAUUUGUGCUUGGAAUUACAUGAUAGAAGUGAACGGGUCAAUAAUAAAGAAAGAAACAUGGCGUAAUGUGGUAGUUAGUUUGAUCAUGUGGUUAUACAUUAGAAAGAUUUAGGAGUUUGUAUAUGAUUAUUUUACAUAUUGGAAGCGUUUAUGAAGUGCAAGUAAUAAUGGAAUGUGUUAGCGAGUAUGUGGAGGAAUGAAUUAAGUAUGUGGGUAUAUAUGUAUAGAAUUAAUUUCAUACCAAUAGCCGGGACUUAUAAUAAUCAUGAAUAGAAGUGAGUAUGCACGUAGGUUUGUAUGUAUGUGACCUAUUUAUAUGGAAGUUGUAAUUAGGAUACAUUAGCAAAUCAUUUGGAAUGAUGUAAGUGGUAUGUAAGAGCUUGUACGUUUGUAUGUGUGUUCGUAAUCAUGUGUGGAAGUAUGUGUCCAUGAAUAUCUGUAUGUAUGUACAUGUGCACGAAGUAGAAUUUAUUGUACACAAAUGAAUGGGACUUUUUUUUAUAUGUUUAUAUAGCUUCAAUACUUUUGAGUGUAAAGUUUCUAAACUGGUGUCUUGAGUUGAGGAUUCGAAAAGAUUAGCAUGAGAUGAAGGAAUACAGAGUCAUUAUUUAUUUACGUAUGUUUAGUUUAUGAACAACGUCACCAAAUUUUAACGAUGCGUAUGUAUGUGGUGAUUAUAGGUCGCACGGACUUAACAUCAUUAUGAAGUAAAUGAGGAUUGAAGAUCGGGUCAAAGAGCGAGGAUUGUACGGGAAGGGUAGUCACAUAACUGGUGAUUUUAUAUUACAUUUGAUGCGAUAAUCAAGAAUGAACGUUGUAAAUCUUUUGAAGAAAGUGUUUGUUAUUUUUAAACGAACCUUCAAGUAAGUCAUAUGAGUAAUUAUGAAAGAAAUUUUAAGUCUCUACUUUCCGCUGUGUCUAUAUGGUUAAAUCGU
rnacentral:lncRNA from 1 species